CGCUGGCGGCGUGCCUAACACAUGCAAGUCGAGCGAGGAGAUUCCUUCGGGAUGAUCCUAGCGGCGGACGGGUGAGUAACACGUGGGCAACCUGCCUCAUAGAGAGGAAUAGCCUUCCGAAAGGGAGAUUAAUACCUCAUAACAUUGCAGUUUCGCAUGGAACAGCAAUUAAAGGAGUAAUCCGCUAUGAGAUGGGGCCCCGCGGCGCAUUAGCUAGUUGGUGAGGUAAUGGCUCACCAAGGCGACGAUGCGUAGCCGACCUCGAGGGGGUGAUCGGCCACAUUGGGACUGAGACACGGCCCAGACUCCUACGGGAGGCAGCAGUGGGGAAUAUUGCACAAUGGGGGAAACCCUGAUGCAAGCAACGCCGCGUGAGUGAUGACGGCCUUCGGGUUGUAAAGCUCUGUCUUCAGGGACGAUAAUGACGGUACCUGAGGAGGAAGCCACGGCUAACUACGUGCCAGCCGCAGC
rnacentral:rRNA from 1 species